GAGACUCUGUGCGCGUGCAUAUCAAUAAGCGGAGGAAAAGAAACUAACAAGGAUUCCCUUAGUAACGGCGAGUGAAGCGGGAAGAGCUCAAAUUUGAAAUCUUCAAGGUUCUACCUUGACGAAUUGUAGUUUAUAGAAGUGUUUUCUGUAGUGGAGUUUGGUAAAAGUUCUUUGGAAUAGGACAUCAUAGAGGGUGAGAAUCCCGUAUUUGACCGUUACUUUCCAGCUGUGUGAUACACUUUCAAAGAGUCGGAUUGUUUGGGAAUGCAGUCCAAAAUGGGUGGUAAAUUUCAUCUAAAGCUAAAUAUUGGCGAGAGACCGAUAGCGAACAAGUACCGUGAGGGAAAGAUGAAAAGAACUUUGAAAAGAGAGUUAAACAGUACGUGAAAUUGUCAAAAGGGAAGCGUUUGACACCAGUGUUGUUUAGUUGAAAAUCAAUUCAAUAUUUUUCGAUUCUAAGUAGUAUUGACUUCAUCAGCUUGCUGCUUUCUUCUCAGGAAAUUAUUUAAUGCACUUUUCAGUUAACAAGUCAACAUCAAUUUCUUUUGUUGUAAAAGGGUAAGAGGAAGGUGGCUUGCGCUUCGGCUCAAGUGUUUAUAGCCUUUUAUCUCCUGCAAUCGGAGAGAUUGAGGUCUGCAGCGUAGAUCCUUCGGGGUUAGAUACAUUGGUGCUAAGCUAUAGCCUUGUAUAGACAACUUGUUGACUAUGCUCAGUCAUGUAGCUUACUCGCUGAUGCUAUUUUACCUACGCUUAGGAUGUUGACAGCAGUAUAGACUGU
rnacentral:rRNA from 1 species